UUCCCUUGAAAGCCUAAAAUUAAAAGAAACCCUAACAGAUCGAGAGAAAAUGAGUAGCUAUGGUGAGUGAAUUCAGUACUGUGAAAUGAAAAGGAAAAAGAAGUGUGAUUGGUGUAGGUGUAUUGACUUGGUGUUGUUGGAAAUGGGAAAUUUGGGGGCAAUUUUUGAGAUUAAAAGGGAAAAAGAAUUAAGUACAAACUUUUAUUUGGGGGAUUUAG
rnacentral:lncRNA from 1 species